UGGGAUGUAUGCGUCCACGUAAAGACAGA
rnacentral:piRNA from 1 species